AAGCGGAGGAAAAGAAACCAACAGGGAUUGUCUUAGUAACGGCGAGUGAAGCGACAAAAGCUCAAAUUUGAAAUCUGGCACCUUCGGUGUCCGAGUUGUAAUUUGAAGAAGGUAACUUUGGAGUUGGCUCUUGUCUAUGUUCCUUGGAACAGGACGUCACAGAGGGUGAGAAUCCCGUGCGAUGAGAUGUCCAACUCUAUGUAAAGUGCUUUCGAAGAGUCGAGUUGUUUGGGAAUGCAGCUCUAAGUGGGUGGUAAAUUCCAUCUAAAGCUAAAUAUUGGCGAGAGACCGAUAGCGAACAAGUACAGUGAUGGAAAGAUGAAAAGAACUUUGAAAAGAGAGUGAAAAAGUACGUGAAAUUGUUGAAAGGGAAGGGUUUGAGAUCAGACUUGGUAUUUUGUAUGUCUUGCUUUCGGGUGGGGCCUCUGCAGUUUACUGGGCCAGCAUCGGUUUGGACGGUAGGAUAAUGACAUUGGAAUGUGGCACUACUUCGGUGGUGUGUUAUAGACUUUGUUGAUACUACCUGUCUAGACCGAGGACUGCGUCUUUGACUAGGAUGCUGGCAUAAUGAUCCUAAACCGCCCGUCUUGA
rnacentral:rRNA from 1 species